GUAGCACCAACGCUGCAUUCAUGUGGAAUAAGCGGAAGUUGUCUUUUGUUUUGGGAAGUGACGCAACAAGCAUUAUUGCAACUCUUUUACGGCAGAAGCAGAAGAGCGCCAGUGAUUCCCGGUAACCGGCUCCUGACAACUGUUGCUGUGGUUUCAAAAACGUCACACGUUUUCUGAUGUUAUUAUGGGCUUAGCUUUCAAUCGGUUGAAAUCCCUGGAAGGUGACUGAAAUGGGACUCGAAGUUUUAUUGUAUGUGCCUAAUUUAAUUGGUUAUAUCCGGGUCCUUUUAGUCCUUGCAGCAUGGGCUGGUUUCAACAAUCCAGAGAUUUUCGUCCCGUGCUAUGGCAUUUCUGUCAUAUUGGACGGGGUGGAUGGCUUCGUGGCGCGCCGCCUCAAGCAGACCUCCGAACUGGGAGCCUGGCUGGAUGUAGUCAUUGACAACACUGGACGGGGGAUGUUAUGGAGCAUGCUGUUUCAGGCAUGCACGCCGUAUUACUCGUUGCUUGUGAUUGUAAUACAUAUAGGGAUUUAGCUGGCAUGCUGUUUUCUUCCAAAUUAUAAUUUGGUAACAUUGCAUCGAAUUAUUUAAAAAUGUGAUACUUGUAUAUAACAUAUACUAAAACGUGUACGUUUAUUAUGACAAUGUUUUUUUUUGUCUUCUAAGUGAAAGAUUUACUUUUCGCUAUACAGAAGAAACGAUGAGCCAUGGUUUUAGUGCACAGGUUUUAAAAGUCCUCUCGGAGUACUGGCGAUCAGUGGUCUACACAUUCUGCCUAUGUGGUUGUAUGGUCUCCAGAUGGGUAUCCUUACCCAGAUCCUCCACCUGCCAGCCUGGCUACAAACUCUGGGAACCCUCUUACUCUCCAUGGGCCGGCUGCUGUGCCUUUCUGUGGAGAUAUGGUGCAUCUGGACCCACGUCAGGUUCCUCACCAGAAAUCAGACGCUGCUAAAAAAGGUGGAGUGAGAGGAGCACGAUUAUUAUAACUGAACCUACAUCCUACUAUUAACGGAUCCAGUAGGACAUAAUUGCACUUGGCCUGUCAGAGCUUCGCUUCCAGGACUGGAAUGCUUAGAGAAGCAAUCUGCCUGCCAGCAUGUUAUUUAUACUUUGUGUUACUCUUAAGCAGGCUGCAAAGGAAGGUUUGAUUCUGCCGAGAACAUGAAAAAGUGGUAUGUAUACGUGUGUAAGCUGCUUUGCAUUGUUCAUAGACAUCUUAUAAUUAUUUUAGUGCUUUUGAAGGUAACUCCAGAAUAGGAAUAAAAUAUACCUAAAAGUA